rnacentral:rRNA from 1 species
AUUGAACGCUGGCGGCACGCCUAACACAUGCAAGUCGAGCGCCCCGCAAGGGGAGCGGCAGACGGGUGAGUAACGCGUGGGAACGUACCCUUUGCUACGGAAUAGCUCCGGGAAACUGGAAUUAAUACCGUAUGUGACCGACGGGGGAAAGAUUUAUCGGCAAAGGAUCGGCCCGCGUUGGAUUAGCUAGUUGGUGGGGUAAUGGCCUACCAAGGCGACGAUCCAUAGCUGGUCUGAGAGGAUGAUCAGCCACAUUGGGACUGAGACACGGCCCAAACUCCUACGGGAGGCAGCAGUGGGGAAUAUUGGACAAUGGGCGCAAGCCUGAUCCAGCCAUGCCGCGUGAGUGAUGAAGGCCUUAGGGUUGUAAAGCUCUUUCACCGGAGAAGAUAAUGACGGUAUCCGGAGAAGAAGCCCCGGCUAACUUCGUGCCAGCCGCCGCAGUAACAC